GGCCUGGUGGUGUAGUUGGAACCAUGUCCUCUUCCUCUGUAGGAGCGUACCUACAGUAUGAGGAAGUCCCUUGUUCGAAUCAAGGUCUGGUCG